GUGCUCACUUCGGCAGCACAUAUACUAAAAUUGGAAUGAUACAGAGAAGAUUAGCAUGGCCCCUGCGCAUGGAUGACACACAAGUAAUACAUUGUUGCUUAUAAUUUAU
rfam:Otolemur garnettii contig049326, whole genome shotgun sequence.